rnacentral:rRNA from 1 species
UACGGAGGAUCCGAGCGUUAUCCGGAUUUAUUGGGUUUAAAGGGUGCGCAGGCGGGAGAUUAAGUCGGCGGUGAAAUUUUGCAGCUCAACUGUAAAAGUGCCAUUGAUACUGGUUUUCUUGAGUGUGGAUGAAGUAGGCGGAAUUUGUGUUGUAGCGGUGAAAUGCUUAGAUAUCACGAGGAACUCCGAUCGCGUAGGCAGCUUACUAGGCCAUAACUGACGCUCAGGCACGAAGGCGUGGGGAUCAAACAGGAUUAGAUACCCU